CACGCGCGCGCACACAUACACGCACACUCACACACACACAAAGUACAUUUGCAAACCCAGCGCUUGCCGUGCGCAUGAAGGAUUUGCGAACGCGGCGGGAAAAACCACAGCAACCAAUCGGCGAGCUGCAGACUUACAUGCAUGACCCCCCGCGAAAACCAUAACUGCCGAUCCCGGAGGCCCUGUGUUGCACCAUUUUUUUCCCCUCUUGCCAGCAAUGACUCCCGGCUGCAGCGACAGAUGGCGCUGAGGCCCUAGGGUUCAGACCAUAGAGUUAGUAGAACAACUCUAGAGGAAAAGCUGGGCCGGAAAAGUGGGAACCUCUAGGGCGCCGCCCUGUUGCUACUGGUCAAUGUGGCCAGCGCAAUUACUAUUGAAAAAGCUGAGAACAAGUACAGUUCACCUUAUGCUUUGUCAUCUAAAAACGCAUACCUGAUGGCUUUAUGAAGGCGGUACGUUAAUAUUAAGUUUACAGAAAGCGAUCGCUAAGUCCGUGACUUAUGAAAAUCACAAUGUACGCAUUCAUGCAAUAAAAGAUGACGCGAAUUUCGGUUUCGAAUCUGUUUUUUGGAUGCGUAGUAGUUUCGUUUGACAUGCGAUCGCGCGUCGACAUCGGACGCUAUGGCACACUCGUGCCUUAUGUGCCACCGAAGCCCCGAAGUGGUCUGGCAUAUACCUUCACAUGUUUCCCUUCAGUAGGAAAUUGCUGGACAGGCGGACCAGCGCACCGGAAUUGUACUGGCGAAGCCACAAGCAACUCAAAGAAUCUGUUUAAUUGUUGCACUUUGAACAAUCAUGCUUCUACAAAGGCCACAGCAGAUCAACAGCCUGAUGCCGAGUAUUUCUGUGCCACGAAGUAAUCAAGAGGCGAGUGCCUAAUGCGGACGAAAUCGAGUGCAUCGAGACUUAGAACGACAGAAAGCUGAGCUAGUUGACAAUGCCUACGCCUAGCCACAGCAGCUCCCUCAUACAGACUCCACAAACCAAGAGGCCGUGGAGGCAAAUGCAGGCAGCCAGCACACCUCGAACAGCCACCUUGACUGCGGGUGUGUCACCCUAGUCGCCAAGGAAACAUUUGAGGGAAAGUGACAGGCAAUGUGAACAGCCACUUCUCCAUGUAAACAAUACUCUUUCUCUCGGAUGACUCCUACGCCUCACCACGCCAGCACACUUGUGCACAAAGAUGCCGCAGAGGCACGUGCAGGUCAGAGGCAAGAAGCAGUGGCACUGGUGUCGACAUUUACCCAAUUUCUUUUUCUUGCACUGAGGCAGCCAGCACACCUCGAACAGCCACCUUGACUGCGGCUGUGUCAGUAGAUUCCUGUUGUACAUAUGCUCAUAAUAAACUUCAGUAAACCUGAACUUCAUAAUAAACUUGAAGGCAAAUGGGA